UUAUAUGUUUAAAUAAUAUAAUAAUAUAAGUGAAGAGUUAAAAGUAAGUAAAGGUUAAAAUAGAAGAAAAAAAACAACUCUCCUCUUCUUCUUCGCGAACGGUGGUGGAGAAAAGAGAUCGGCUUUUUCACUUUCUUCUCCGGCGCGUCUCCGUUCGUCGACGAACGAUAAGUCGGCGAUCCAUCUUUCCGGCCUCCGUCCUCCUUCCUCCUUCUUCUCUGUGCAAAUCUGAGUAGGCACGAGGCUAACGGAGCUUCCAUUACUAAUUAAGAAGAGAAACGUCGUUGAUUUAAAGCCCAAUCCCUCUUUUACCCAAAAUUGAAGGCAUGGCAUACCAGUUUCCAAGAUGCUUGCAGCAGGAGCUGAGCCCCCGAUUGAUAAGAUCAACAACACGUGUAGACGACAGACAACAUUCGGGAAGCUCGACAGAAGAUUGCUUAUGACCUAUGGGAAGCAGCUAAUGAUCCUGUGCUUUUAACGCGGAUGGCACUGUUCUGUCCUCCGAAGCCUACCACACGGUCUUCGCUUACCAUUUUAUGAUUUUAUUUCUGUUAUGAUUUGUCUAACAAGUGUAUAUGUGAAUCUCUUCUUUGACUCUUAUUUGACUGUAAACUCUAUUAGUUAGCAUUGUUUAUGAAUCUAUUCUUUGACUCUUAUUUUGGUUCUGAAAAUAUUAGGAAAAUUUGGAACGUUUAUU